rnacentral:ncRNA from 1 species
CUGUUUAUCAAAGAAAACACACAGGUCUCCGCAAAGUCGUAAGAACAUGUAUGGGGGCUGACGCCUGCCCAGUGCCGGAAGGUCAAGGAAGUUGUUGAACUGAUGAUAGGGAAGCCGGCGAUCGAAGCCCCGGUGAACGGCGGCCGUAACUAUAACGGUCCUAAGGUAGCGAAAUUCCUUUUCGGGUAAGUUCCGACCCGCACGAAAGGUGUAA